GGCAGAUCCAUUCUCUGCCACCGAAUACAUUAGCAUGGGAUAAUGGAAUAGGACCCUGUCCUCCUAUUUUCAGUUGGUUUUGGCAGCGCGAGGACUAGGGUAAUGAUUAAUAGGGAUAGUUGGGGGCAUUAAUAUUUAAUUGUCAGAGGUGAAAUUCUUGGAUUUAUGAAAGAUUAACUUCUGCGAAAGCAUCUGCCAAGGAUGUUUUCAUUAAUCAAGAACGAAAGUUAGGGGAUCGAAGACGAUCAGAUACCGUCGUAGUCUUAACCAUAAACGAUGCCGACCAGCGAUUAGGAGACGUUGAAUACAAAACACCACCAUCGGUGCGGUCGUUCUUGGCGUCGGUUUCGGCCGGCGCGGGGAUGGCUUAGCCCGGUGGCACCGGUGAAUGACUCCCCUAGCAGCUUGUGAGAAGAGA
rnacentral:rRNA from 1 species